rnacentral:rRNA from 1 species
UACGAAGGGGGCUAGCGUUGCUCGGAAUCACUGGGCGUAAAGCGCACGUAGGCGGAUUGCUAAGUCAGGGGUGAAAUCCUGGAGCUCAACUCCAGAACUGCCUUUGAUACUGAGAAGCUUGAGUCCGGGAGAGGUGAGUGGAACUGCGAGUGUAGAGGUGAAAUUCGUAGAUAUUCGGAGGAACACCAGUGGCGAAGGCGGCUCACUGGUCCAUUACUGACGCUGAGGUGCGAAAGCGUGGGGAGCAAACAGG